rnacentral:rRNA from 1 species
CCUACGGGAGGCAGCAGUAGGGAAUCUUCCACAAUGGACGCAAGUCUGAUGGAGCAACGCCGCGUGAGUGAAGAAGGGUUUCGGCUCGUAAAGCUCUGUUGGUAGUGAAGAAAGAGAGAGGUAGUAACUGGUCUCUACUUGACGGUAACUACUUAGAAAGUCACGGCUAACUACGUGCCAGCAGCCGCGGUAAUACGUAGGUGGCAAGCGUUGUCCGGAUUUAUUGGGCGUAAAGCGAGUGCAGGCGGUUCAAUAAGUCUGAUGUGAAAGCCUUCGGCUCAACCGGGGAAUUGCAUCAGAAACUGUUGAACUUGAGUGCAGAAGAGGAGAGUGGAACUCCAUGUGUAGCGGUGAAAUGCGUAGAUAUAUGGAAGAACACCAGUGGCGAAGGCGGCUCUCUGGUCUGCAACUGACGCUGAGGCUCGAAAGCAUGGGUAGCGAACAGGAUUAGAUACCCGUGUAGUC